rnacentral:rRNA from 1 species
GAGCGUGACGGCGCGAGCAGGUGCGAAAGCAGGUCAUAGUGAUCCGGUGGUUCUGAAUGGAAGGGCCAUCGCUCAACGGAUAAAAGGUACUCCGGGGAUAACAGGCUGAUACCGCCCAAGAGUUCAUAUCGACGGCGGUGUUUGGCACCUCGAUGUCGGCUCAUCACAUCCUGGGGCUGAAGUAGGUCCCAAGGGUAUGGCUGUUCGCCAUUUAAAGUGGUACGCGAGCUGGGUUUAGAACGUCGUGAGACAGUUCGGUCCCUAUCUGCCGUGGGCGCUGGAGAACUGAGGGGGGCUGCUCCUAGUACGAGAGGACCGGAGUGGACGCAUCACUGGUGUUCGGGUUGUCAUGCCAAUGGCACUGCCCGGUAGCUAAAUGCGGAAGAGAUAAGUGCUGAAAGCAUCUAAGCACGAAACUUGCCCCGAGAUGAGUUCUCCCUGACUCCUUGAGAGUCCUGAAGGAACGUUGAAGACGACGACGUUGAUAGGCCGGGUGUGUAAGCGCAGCGAUGCGUUGAGCUAACCGGUACUAAUGAACCGUGAGGCUUAACCUUACAACGCCGAAGAUGUUUUG